ACAAGCCGGAAGGAGGCGGGGCGUGGUCGCUGGGUUGGUGCUUGUGGCGGCUACUAAACAAUGGAAAGGAACAAGCCACUAAUACCUGGAACAACAUGAAUGAACCUCAAAACAUUAAGCUGAGUGAAAGAAGCCUUGCACACAAAAAAGGUUUCCUUGUUGGAGUGUUGGGUUCACUAUGCCUGGCCAGCCCUAGGAGGCUGCUCUCCUUCACUAUUGCUAAAUUUCCCACCUGCUUACCAUGGAAAAAGAACUGCAACCUGACCCCCACGCCAGCUGGUGGCAGUCUUAGACACUGACGAGCAGAAAAAUCCCAUGAGACCUCAACUGAUCUGUACCAUAAUCUUAAUCAUCUUCUGGAAUUUGCC